CUACGGGGGGCUGCAGUGGGGAAUUUUGGACAAUGGGGGCAACCCUGAUCCAGCCAUGCCGCGUGAGUGAAGAAGGCCUUCGGGUUGUAAAGCUCUUUCAGCCGGGAAGAAAUCGCAUGGGCCAAUACCCUGUGCGGAUGACGGUACCGGAAUAAGAAGCACCGGCUAACUACGUGCCAGCAGCCGCGGUAAUACGUAGGGUGCGAGCGUUAAUCGGAAUUACUGGGCGUAAAGCGUGCGCAGGCGGAUGCUUAAGUCAGAUGUGAAAUCCCCGGGCUUAACCUGGGAAUUGCAUUUGAAACUGGGUGUCUUGAGUGCGUCAGAGGGGGGUGGAAUUCCACGUGUAGCAGUGAAAUGCGUAGAUAUGUGGAGGAACACCAAUGGCGAAGGCAGCCCCCUGGGAUGACACUGACGCUCAUGCACGAAAGCGUGGGGAGCAAACAGGAUUAGAUACCCCCGUAGUC
rnacentral:rRNA from 1 species